AGAGAUGCAUUGGGUGUAAAGUGUGCGCAGGCGGUUUUGUAAGACAGAGGUGAAAUCCCCGGGCUCAACCUGGGAACUGCCUUUGUGACUGCAAGGCUGGAGUGCGGCAGAGGGGGAUGGAAUUCCGCGUGUAGCAGUGAAAUGCGUAGAUAUGCGGAGGAACACCGAUGGCGAAGGCAAUCCCUUGGGCCUGCACUGACGCCCAUGCACGAAAGCGUGGGGAGCAAACA
rnacentral:rRNA from 1 species